GCAUAUCAAUAAGCGGAGGAAAAGAAACCAACAGGGAUUACCUCAGUAACGGCGAGUGAAGCGGUAACAGCUCAAAUUUGAAAGCUGGCUCUUUUAGGGUCCGCAUUGUAAUUUGUAGAAGAUGCUUCGGGUGUGGCCCCGGUCUAAGUUCCUUGGAACAGGACGUCAUAGAGGGUGAGAAUCCCGUAUGUGACUGGGUGCUUUCGCUCAUGUGAAGCUCUUUCGACGAGUCGAGUUGUUUGGGAAUGCAGCUCAAAAUGGGUGGUAAAUUUCAUCUAAAGCUAAAUAUUGGCCAGAGACCGAUAGCGCACAAGUAGAGUGAUCGAAAGAUGAAAAGCACUUUGGAAAGAGAGUUAAACAGUACGUGAAAUUGUUGAAAGGGAAGCGCUUGCAACCAGACUUGCGCGCUGAUGAUCAUCUGGGCUUCUGUCCAGUGCACUCGUCUGCGCUCAGGCCAGCAUCGGUUUCGGUGGUGGGAUAAAGGCCUUGGGAAUGUAGCUCCUCUCGGGGAGUGUUAUAGCCCUCGGUGCAAUGCCGCCUACUGGGACCGAGGACCGCGCUUCGGCUAGGAUGCUGGCGUAAUGGUUGUAAGCGACCCGUCUUGAAACACGGACCAAGGAGUCUAACAUCUAUGCGAGUGUUUGGGUGUCAAACCCAUACGCGUAAUGAAAGUGAACGGAGGUGAGAACCCUUAAGGGUGCAUCAUCGACCGAUCCUGAUGUCUUCGGAUGGAUUUGAGUAAGAGCAUAGCUGUUGGGACCCGAAAGAUGGUGAACUAUGCGUGAAUAGGGUGAAGCCAGAGGAAACUCUGGUGGAGGCUCGCAGCGGGUUCUGACGUGCAAAUCGAUCGUCAAAUUUGCGUAUAGGGGGCGAAAGACUAAUCGAAAUUAUCUAGUAGCUGGGAUGCUGCGAG
rnacentral:rRNA from 1 species